GACGAACGCUGGCGGCGUGCCUAAUACAUGCAAGUCGAACGAACCGCGACUAAGUGCUUGCACUAAGUCAAGGUGAGUGGCGAACGGGUGAGUAACACGUGGGUAACCUACCUCAUAGUGGGGGAUAACAGUCGGAAACGACUGCUAAUACCGCAUAGGACAUAGGAUCACAUGAUCCAGUGAGGAAAGGUGGCGCAAGCUAUCGCUAGGAGAUGGACCCGCGGUGCAUUAGCUAGUUGGUCGGGUAAAGGCCUACCAAGGCGAUGAUGCAUAGCCGACCUGAGAGGGUGAUCGGCCACAUUGGGACGGAGACACGGCCCAAACUCCUACGGGAGGCAGCAGUAGGGAAUCUUCCGCAAUGGACGCAAGUCUGACGGAGCAACGCCGCGUGAGUGAAGAAGGUCUUCGGAUCGUAAAGCUCGGUUGUUAGAGAAGAACAGCGCAUAGAGUAACUGCUAUGCGUGUGACGGUAUCUAACCAGAAAGCCACGGCUAACUACGUG
rnacentral:rRNA from 1 species